rnacentral:lncRNA from 1 species
CUUUUGUUUAUCCGACUGUUAAAUCACUGUACACGAUUUCAGAUAAAUAAACUGUAUGUUCCUCUGUCCAUUGGUCUGUAAAGUUAUUGUGUACACUUCCCUAGAAAUGCUAAAUUCAAUUUGCCAUGCCGUUGCAUCACUCAUCGAUAUUUAGUAAUGGACAGUUAGCCGUCCGUAUUCCUCUGCCAAACUUUCACUGUAUCAAACAUUUUAAAAGGAAAACUUCUCCGUCUUUUGUUUUUUUAUUUCAUUAAUGUAAAGACAACAUUAUCUCGUAAAAAUUAAUUAACAGCACAUUUGAGAUGAC